UACCAGCACCCCGAGUGGUCGGGACGUUUAUUGGGCCUAAAGCAUCCGUAGCCGGUUCUACAAGUCUUCCGUUAAAUCCAACUGCUUAACAGGUGGGCUGCGGAAGAUACUAUAGAGCUAGGAGGCGGGAGAGGCAAGCGGUAGUCGAUGGGUAGGGGUAAAAUCCGUUGAUCCAUUGAAGACCACCAGUGGCGAAGGCGGCUUGCCAGAACGCGCUCGACGGUGAGGGAUGAAAGCUGGGGGAGCAAACCGG
rnacentral:rRNA from 1 species